rnacentral:rRNA from 1 species
UACGGAGGAUGCGAGCGUUAUCCGGAUUUAUUGGGUUUAAAGGGUGCGUAGGCGGACUGUCAAGUCAGCGGUAAAAUUGAGAGGCUCAACCUCUUCCCGCCGUUGAAACUGGUGGUCUUGAGUGGAUGAGAAGUACGCGGAAUUCGUGGUGUAGCGGUGAAAUGCUUAGAUAUCACGAAGAACUCCGAUUGCGAAGGCAGCUCACUGGACUGCAACUGACACUGAGGCUCGAAAGUGUGGGUAUCAAACAGG